AGUCGACGGUGAAGCCAAGCUUGCUUGGUGGAUCAGUGGCGAACGGGUGAGUAACACGUGAGCAACCUGCCCUGGACUCUGGGAUAAGCGCUGGAAACGGCGUCUAAUACUGGAUAUGAGCUCCUUCCGCAUGGUGGGGGUUGGAAAGAUUUUUCGGUCUGGGAUGGGCUCGCGGCCUAUCAGCUUGUUGGUGAGGUAAUGGCUCACCAAGGCGUCGACGGGUAGCCGGCCUGAGAGGGUGACCGGCCACACUGGGACUGAGACACGGCCCAGACUCCUACGGGAGGCAGCAGUGGGGAAUAUUGCACAAUGGGCGGAAGCCUGAUGCAGCAACGCCGCGUGAGGGAUGACGGCCUUCGGGUUGUAAACCUCUUUUAGCAGGGAAGAAGCGAAAGUGACGGUACCUGCAGAAAAAGCGCCGGCUAACUACGUGCCAGCAGCCGCGGUAAUACGUAGGGCGCAAGCGUUAUCCGGAAUUAUUGGGCGUAAAGAGCUCGUAGGCGGUUUGUCGCGUCUGCUGUGAAAUCCCGAGGCUCAACCUCGGGCCUGCAGUGGGUACGGGCAGACUAGAGUGCGGUAGGGGAGAUUGGAAUUCCUGGUGUAGCGGUGGAAUGCGCAGAUAUCAGGAGGAACACCGAUGGCGAAGGCAGAUCUCUGGGCCGUAACUGACGCUGAGGAGCGAAAGGGUGGGGAGCAAACAGGCUUAGAUACCCUGGUAGUCCACCCCGUAAACGUUGGGAACUAGUUGUGGGGACCAUUCCACGGUUUCCGUGACGCAGCUAACGCAUUAAGUUCCCCGCCUGGGGAGUACGGCCGCAAGGCUAAACUCAAAGGAAUUGACGGGGACCCGCACAAGCGGCGGAGCAUGCGGAUUAAUUCGAUGCAACGCGAAGAACCUUACCAAGGCUUGACAUAUACGAGAACGGGCCAAAAUGGUCAACUCUUUGGACACUCGUAAACAGGUGUGCAUGGUGUCGUCAGCUCGUGUCGUGAGAUGUGGGUUAAGUCCUGCACGAGCGCACCUCGUUCUAUGUGCCAGCACGUAAUGGUGCUACUCAUGGUAUACUGCAGGGUCACUCGGACGACGGUGGGAUG
rnacentral:rRNA from 1 species